UUCCACUAGCAGCCUCUGGAUAAAGAUGUAGAACACUCAGGCACCAUGCCUGCCUGGAUGCCUUUAUGCUCUCACCUUGAUGGUAAUGGACUGAACCUCUGAAUCUGUGAUAAAAAGAGGUAGGAAUUGAAUGUUAAGGUUGCUUUACUCAGAGAUCCAGAGAUAAGAGAAGACAGUGAAUUGACAUCAUGAAAAUCUGUCAUACCUCCCAUCUCCAGCCAGUAGAUUACACAGAGCUCAGUGGAAGAAUAGAUGGUCAGACACCCGGCCACACCUUGGAUAUACUGCUUCUGUUGGCACUUCAAGACUAUAAGCUUGUCACACAAGAAGCCUUUUAGGGAAGAGAACUGAUGUGUAUGCUCAUGUUGAAAGCAACCCUGUGAAUUGGAUCCGAAGAAAGCUGGUGGCAGCUCUCCUCUCCCAUCUGUCCUCUCUGAGAUGUAAGAAUGGGAGCUCUCCUUACCUCAAGCCAGUUCUUCCUUUCUACCUGCCUACACCAGUGCCCUGGCAUGCGUCUGCUCUGCUGCCCUCUGCUUUAAGUUUCUGAGUAAAGAUUUUCAGAAACAAAGGACGCUGCAUCAACCUUAUCCACCAACCAAUGAAUCAAAGCUGAGGACUGAACCCAGGGCCUUGCGCUUGCUAGGCAAGCACUCCACCACUGAGAUAGGACCCAAAUCUGGAUGUUAGGGUUACUCUUCCCACCUCAGUGAACUGAACCUAGACAGGCUCCACAGGAAUGUCCAAAGGCCUGCCUCCUACAUGAUUCUAUAUCCUGUCAAAUGACAAUAUUAACUUUCCUAGGGGGUGAGAAGAUUUUUUUCAUAGAACUUACUUUGAAGCCAUUAUAAUGUUGGAGGCUGUCUUAGAGUUUUACUGAUGUGAACAGACACCAUGACCAAAGCACCUCUUAAAAAAAGAACAUUUAAUUGGGGCUCUCUUACAGGUUCAGAGGUUCAGUCCAUUAUCACCAAGGCAGAAGCAUGGCAACAUCCAGGCAGGCAUGGCACAGGAGGAGCUGAGAGUUCUACAUCUUCAUCUGAAGACUGCUAGCAGAAUACUGGCUUCUAGGCAGCUAGGAUGAGGGUCUUAAAGACCACACCCACAGUGACACACCUACUCCAACCAGGCCACAGCUACUCCUACAGGGCCACACCUCCUAAUAGUGCCAGUCCCUAGGCCAAGCAUAUACAAACCAUCACAGAGGCAAAUGUGAAUGUCUAGCUUCUCUUUUCCCAUUCAUCCCUAGACUGUUUCUGACAUUCUGAAGUUCAAAUCGUCUCUCCUCUAAGUAGUACCAAUUACUGCUCAGUUAGAAUAAUGGUUUUCUGUCGUUUUGCUGUCCAAACUAUGUCAUGAAUUACCAAAUUAUUAUUAUUUUUUUCUAAAUCAUUGCUAGGAAUACGGCUUCAGUUUUAUUCCAUCAUUUAUUACAGCAUCAACACGCCCAGCAGUUUCUUCUGAACUGUAGCAGUUAGAUAGAUGGCUCCACUUCCUCUUGGGCUGAAUGAAAAAGAGAACAUCAAUUACAACAUUGGACAGUCAUGAACAUGAAAAAAGAAAUGAGUAAGUGAGGAAGGAAUUGUUCCUCUCUAGUAAUAUCUACUCUAAAGCUAUUCUCUGUGAUUAGAGGAUAAAUUGACCAACUCUGGGUAACAGCUGUAUGUUUUGUGACAAAACUUUUGGGGAGAUGUAACGUACAUGUAUAAUCACCACAUAGUGGAAACUCAUGAUAGACCAAAGUGCAGAUAUCCCCAAAGCUCAAUUUGGUGAACCAAUGAGUUUUAUUGAAGUUACUUACAGGAAUGUGAGUGUGGGGCUACUUAGAGGAGCCAAGAUGACUCAAAGACAGCUGCAUCACCAAAGUCCAGCCCAGCAUGGGUGACAGCUCACAAGGUUAAUAACCUGGCACACGCUUCACAGCUUACAGGCAGCUCACGAGGUUGGAGAGUGCCAUCUCCAGAUAUCUAAGUUGGUCUAAAUCUUUUCCAGGCACCUCAGAUGAUCUCUGCUUCUUCCAGGUAGCUGGUCUGGUCUCAGAGUUUUCUUGGCAUCUCAGCUUGUCCGAGAGUCUUAUUUGCAACGUGGCUUUGCUACAUCUGAGGGAGACUUUCAGCAUUUAUUGCUUAUUCCGGCAGGGAGGGAGGAGGUUAGUGAAUCUGGUCAGUUUUGUGGACUUCCUAAAGCCAUUUUGUUUACCUUUCUGGUUAAGGAGCCUCCUGCAGGAUGGGAUGUUUUAAUCUCAGUGGAAACUGUGUACUCCUAAGGAUAAUGUGAAGUCAUGAUUCUCAGUAGAUCACAGAAUGACAAAAAUGAAUUGUACUAGAACAAAAUUCAAAAACACAGUGUUGCAGAUGGAGGAAAGUUGAUUCUGACAGCACAAAUCUCAAAUUUCCACCGAUAGUUUGUGUUAGUUACUAAUACAAGGUAAGCCUCGAGAUUUCCUAGUACCUACUCAAAUGCUUUGGCAGCAUUCAAUGAGACAAUAUUUAUUCCUAGCAAUCUUCCUGUAAAAUUGUAAUUUCUGUGAAAAUUAACCUUAUGAUGAGAUUUUUAUCUUACUCCAGUGAGGAUGGCUAAAAAUAAGACAGCAAUAGGUCACAAGCACUGGUGAGGAUGAGGGGAACCAGAAACCCUCAUGCACGGUUGGUGGGAAUGCGAACAGGUACAACCAUGAUGGAAAUCAGUGUGAUAGUUCCUCUGGAAACUAGAAAUAGACCAAGAAAUAUCACAGAGCAACAACACUCCUGGGCACAUCCCCAAGGACUCUAUUUCUUGCUACAGAGACACAUGCUCAUCCAUAUUCAUAGUUGCUCUAUUCACUAUAGCUAAAGCGUGGAGCCUGCAUAGAUAUCGAUUGGAUGAUACACGGAUAAUGGGAAUGUGGCAUCUCUAUGUAAUGGAAUGUAUUUAUCUCUAAAAAAAUAAAUCACGAAAUUUACAGGCGAAUGGAUGGAGCUAGAGAGCAGUCUAUUGAGUGAGGUAACCCAGACUUAGGUAAACGUCACUCAUGACUUUUAUCUUUAGAUUUGUCUGUUUAAUUUGGAGUACUUGUAGAAUUCAGGCAAUUAGAAAGGGGCCAUGUGUGGGGGUUGAGUGGGAAGAAAGGUUGUAAGAGAGCUGGAUAGUAUAACAUAGAUGAUAUGAAGAGGGUGGGUGUGUAAGGGGAAGAGAGGUGGGAGAGUAAGACUCAGGGACAGGGAGGAGGGAUAACUAACAUUAAACAUAUUUGAAAAAUAUAUGUAAACCUACUAUUGCUUCAGCCUCUUAGAUCUAUUUGCCUAUCUAUCUAUCUAUCUAUCUAUCUAUCUAUCUAUCUAUCUAUCUAUCAUCUAUCUACCUAUCUAUCUAUCUAUCAUCUAUCUACCUAUCUAUCAUCUAUCUAUCUUCAUAUAAAAGAGUUUAACUGGAAUUACCCUACACAGGUAUCAUGCUUCUCCCAAAAUCCAUUAGGUUGCCAAAUAAAACCCAAGUGUCAGGUGUAGGAUAUCUUCUCUUGAGCUGUAGGUAAUGGUUGUCCAGGAGAAGAAUAUUCUGUCCCCUCCCUACCCCCAAUGAUACAGGGCAUUGCUACUGAUCCUGUCUGAGCAGCAAAACUUGAUGGUAAGACCCUACUGCAGAUGACACCUGAAUGGUCACGGGACAUGUUGUAUUGAGUAGGAUAGUUCCUUCUAGAUGAUGUUCAUACUUCUAAAUGGUGCUAUGUAGGUUGCUACGGGAAAACAGUCAUCAAACGUCUUACUCAACUUUGAGUGCCAUGAGCUACAAUUACGACUGCUGUGGCAAGGUAUAUUUCCAUGGGGGUAAUAGUGGCAUGUAUGUUAUAUGGUUAAUUAUCCCCCUUUUUAGUUGGAUUUAAGUCUGGCUCCACAGGAGAAAACACAUGCCUAAUUCUAGCCAAGAACCCAUGUUUUUGAAGGAAAGGUAUUUUCCUCAAAGGGAAUGCUUGGCCAGGUCAGGGACAUGGAGAGCACCGCAGGAGACUCUGAAUAGACUAGAAGUCAAAGGAAAAGCAGCAGAUGUGAGUCACCAGAUUUCAAAUACAUGUUCCAAAAGCAUGCCUUGGAGCAGAUGCUCCAUCCCUCUGUUAGGAUCAUGGGGAGGAUAAGCAUUUGGGGAAGGAGGAAACACCCACAUAAAUGAAGUCAUGGGUCCUGAGAAGAAAACAUGCUCUUCUGUUAGUUAUGUGAUUAUAGUCCUUCUCAUAUAUCAAUAAAGUUGGGACCAUUCUGUG
rnacentral:lncRNA from 1 species